rnacentral:rRNA from 1 species
UACGUAGGUGGCAAGCGUUGUCCGGAAUUAUUGGGCGUAAAGCGCGUGCAGGUGGUCCUUUAAGUCUGAUGUGAAAGCCCACGGCUCAACCGUGGAGGGUCAUUGGAAACUGGGGGACUUGAGUACAGAAGAGGAAAGUGGAAUUCCACGUGUAGCGGUGAAAUGCGUAGAGAUGUGGAGGAACACCAGUGGCGAAGGCGACUUUCUGGUCUGUAACUGACACUGAGGCGCGAAAGCGUGGGGAGCGAACAGGAUUAGAAACCCGAGUAGUCC